rnacentral:rRNA from 1 species
GACAUAUAUACAGAGGGCUCACGGUGGAUACCUUGCCAUACAUUGCAUCAAAGACGAGUUUACUGCUGAUUAUCCUCGGGGAGCUGGAGACAAGCUUUGAAUCCGGUAAUAU